rnacentral:piRNA from 1 species
UAGGACAGAAAGUCACAGCCAGAUGAAGAG